CCAAAUUAAAAUAAAUAAAUGAUUUAAAAAAAAAAAGAAAAAGCUGCACUAGAUUGUAAAGACUGGGGUGGACCUCUUUCUUAAUGUCCAGUGUCCUUUGUCUUAAGAUUUGGUGCAAUAUGU
ensembl:snoRNA Small nucleolar RNA SNORA81